rnacentral:rRNA from 1 species
AUGAAUGGACUCGAGCACCCGCGCAAUGGCCGGACCGCCUACCACUUCCAGCCGGCCAAGUUCUGGCAGAAUGAUCCCAACGGGCCACUGUACCACAACGGCAUGUACCACUUCUUCUACCAGUACAACCCGCACGGCGCCACCUGGGGCGACGGCACGCUCUCAUGGGGCCACUCAGUCUCCGGCGACCUCGUGAACUGGGCCGACGUCGGCAAUGCGCUCGACCCCACCUCCCCGUUCGACGCCAACGGCUGCUGGUCGGGCUCCGCCACCGUGCUCCCCGGCGGCCGCCCGGCCAUCCUCUACACCGGCAUCGACGCCAACAGGGUGCAGGUGCAGAACGUGGCCUUCGCCAAGAACCCCGCCGACCCGCUCCUCCGCGAGUGGGAGAAGCCCGACUGCAACCCGGUCAUGCCGAUGCCGGCUGACGUCACCGGCAACAACUUCCGCGACCCCACGGAGGCGUGGCGCGGCCGCGACGGCCUGUGGAGGGUCGGCGUCGUCGCGGAGGUCGGCGGCGUGGGGUCCCUGCUCGUGUACCGGAGCGCGGACUUCCUCCGCUGGGAGCGCAACACCGCGCCUCUGCACGCCAGCUCGCGGGACGUGCCUGUGCUGGAGUGUCCGGACCUGUUCCCCAUGGCGCCGCCCGGCGCGGCGGAAGGGCUCGACGUGUCCGCGAGCGGCGCCGGGGUGUUGCACGUGCUGAAGCUCACGGACUUCGCCAAGGAGGACCACUACAUGGUCGGGCGGUACGACGACGAGGCGGACACCUUCGUGCCAGCGGAGCCCGAGCGCGGCGACGACCCCGGCAACUGGCGCCGGCUGGACCACGGCCACCUGUACGCGUCCAAGUCCUUCUACGACGCCCGCAACAAGCGGCGCGUGCUGUGGGCGUGGGUGGACGAGAACGACGGCGGCGGCGUGGCCAGGGGCUGGGCGGGCAUCCAGGCGUUCCCGAGGGCGAUCUGGCUGGACGCCGACGGGAAGCGGCUGGUGCAGUGGCCAAUCGAGGAGAUCGAGACACUGAGGAGGAAGCGGGUCGGCCUGCAGUGGGCGACGGAGGUGGAGGCCGGCGGCAGGAAGGAGGUCGCCGGCAUCGUGAGCUCGCAGGCGGACGUGCAGGCUGUCUUCGAGAUCCCGAACCUGGAGGAGGCCGAGACGCUGGACCCGAAGUGGCUGCAGGAUCCCAAGGGGCUGUCCGCCGAGAUGGGCGCGUCCGCGCACGGCGGAGUCGGGCCGUUCGGGCUGCUGGUCUUGGCUUCCGGCGACCUGGAAGAGUACACGGCGGUCUUCUUCAGGGUGUUCAAGCACGAUGGCAAGUACAAGGUCCUCAUGUGCACCGAUCUGACAAGAUCAUCGAGGAAGGAGGGGAUAAACAAGCCAUCCUACGGGGCAUUUCUGGACGUGGACGUGGAGAAGGAGAGGAGCAUCUCGCUCAGAACACUGAUCGAUCACACGGUGGUGGAGAGCUUCGCCGACGGCGGGAGGACGUGCAUGACGGCCCGGGUGUACCCGGAGCAUGCGGAGGCGGAGGGCAGCCGGCUGUACGCGUUCAACUACGGCGCCGGGGCCGUGAAGGUGUCCAAGCUGGAGGCGUGGGAGCUGGCCACGGCCGCCGUGAACGGCGGAGGCCAUAUGUAG